GAUAAACGCUGGCGGCGUGCAUAACACAUGCAAGUCGAACGAAGUGGCGAACGGGUGAGUAACACGUGAGUAACCUGCCUUACACAAGGGGAUAGCCUUUGGAAACGAAGAAUAAUACCCUAUAGUGUAAGAUGGACUUGCGUCUGAUUAGCUAGUUUGUGAGAUAAACGCUCACCAAGGCGACGAUCAGUAGCCGGCUUGAGAGAGUGUACUGCCACAUGGGGAAUGAGACCCGGCCCAAACUCGCCGGGAGGCAGCAGUGGGGAAUCUUGCACCAGGGGGGAAACCCUGAUGCAGCGGAGCCGCGUGAUUUAGAAGGCCUGCGGGUUGUAAGAAUCUGUUUUACGGGAUGCGGUACCGUAAGAAUAAGGUCCGGCUAACUACGUGCCAGCAGCCGCGGUAAUUC
rnacentral:rRNA from 1 species